UUGGCUGUGGCUCAGUGGUAGAGCAUUUGUUUUGCAUGCAGAUGGCCCCAGGUUCAAUCCUGGGCAUCUUAAA